CCUACGGGUGGCUGCAGUGGGGAAUCUUGCGCAAUGGGCGAAAGCCUGACGCAGCAACGCCGCGUGAGCGAAGACGGCCUUCGGGUUGUAAAGCUCUGUCAGGAGGGACGAAGCCACUCAGGUGAAUAGCCGAGAGGGUGACGGUACCUCCAGAGGAAGCCCCGGCUAACUACGUGCCAGCAGCCGCGGUAAUACGUAGGGGGCGAGCGUUGUCCGGAAUCAUGUGGCGUAGGGCGCGUAUAGGCGGCGAGAAAGCUCGGGGCUCAACCCCGAGUCUGCAUUGGAAACUGGAUGGCUUGAGUCCGGAAGAGGAGACUGGAAUUCCUGGUGUAGCGGUGAAAUGCGCAGAUAUCAGGAAGAACACCGGUGGCGAAGGCGGGUCUCUGGGACGGUACUGACGCUGAGACGCGAAAGCGUGGGGAGCAAACAGGAUUAGAUACCCGUGUAGUC
rnacentral:rRNA from 1 species